rnacentral:rRNA from 1 species
GCGAUUCGCCCUUCGGGGUGCCCAGGCGCGAAAACUUUACAAUGCUGGCAACAGCGAUAAGGGGACCUCGAGUGCCAGGAUACAAUCUUGGCUGUCGCGAUGCCUAAAAAGCAUUGCAUAGCAAGGGCCGGGCAAGACCGGUGCCAGCCGCCGCGGUAACACCGGCGGCUCGAGUGGUAACCGCUAUUAUUGGGUCUAAAGGGUCUGUAGCCGGCCGGAUAAGUCUUUUGGGAAAUCCAGCUGCUCAACAGUUGGGCUUUCAGAAGAUACUGUUCGGCUCGAGACCGGGAGAGGUGAGAGGUACUUCAGGGGUAGGGGUGAAAUCUUGUAAUCCUUGAAGGACCACCAGUGGCGAAGGCGUCUCACCAGAACGGAUCUGACGGCAAGGGACGAAAGCUAGGGGCACGAACCGGAUUAGAUACCCGGGUAGUCCUAGCCGUAAACGAUACUCGCUAGGUGUCAGCCACGGUGCGACCGUGGUUGGUGCCGUAGGGAAGCCGUGAAGCGAGCCACCUGGGAAGUACGGCCGCAAGGCUGAAACUUAAAGGAAUUGGCGGGGGAGCAC